UACGGAGGGUGCGAGCGUUGUCCGGAAUCAUUGGGCGUAAAGGGCGCGUAGGUGGCCUGCUAAGCGUGCGGUGAAAGUCGGGGGCUCAACCCCCGAUCGGCCGUGCGAACUGGGAGGCUUGAGCACUGUAGAGGCAGGCGGAAUUCCGGGUGUAGCGGUGGAAUGCGUAGAGAUCCGGAAGAACACCGGUGGCGAAGGCGGCCGUGCUGGGCA
rnacentral:rRNA from 1 species